UACGUAGGUGGCGAGCGUUGUCCGGAUUUACUGGGCGUAAAGAGCGCGCAGGCGGUCGUACAAGUCGCGUGUGAAAGCCCCCGGCUCAACUGGGGAGGGUCACGCGAUACUGUUCGACUCGAAGGCAGGAGAGGGAAGUGGAAUUCCCGGUGUAGUGGUGAAAUGCGUAGAUAUCGGGAGGAACACCAGUGGCGAAGGCGGCACUCUGGGCCAGUACUGACACUGAGGAGCGAAAGCGUGGGGAGCGAACAGG
rnacentral:rRNA from 1 species